rnacentral:rRNA from 1 species
AACGAGACCUUAACCUGCUAAAUAGCCAGGCUAGCUUUGGCUGGUCGCCGGCUUCUUAGAGGGACUAUCGGCUCAAGCCGAUGGAAGUUUGAGGCAAUAACAGGUUGGCACACAGGCCUGUAAAAGUAGGUUUUGACCUGCUAGUCUAGCACCUAAUCUCCGUGAAGAAGUCUUCUUCUACCGGGC